rnacentral:rRNA from 1 species
UACGUAGGGUGCGAGCGUUAAUCGGAAUUACUGGGCGUAAAGCGUGCGCAGGCGGUUUUGUAAGCCAGAUGUGAAAUCCCCGGGCUUAACCUGGGAAUGGCAUUUGGGACUGCAAGGCUCGAGUGCGGCAGAGGAGACUGGAAUUCCUGGUGUAGCAGUGAAAUGCGUAGAUAUCAGGAGGAACACCAGUGGCGAAGGCGGUGGUCUGGGCCGGAACUGACGCUGAGGAGCGAAAGCGUGGGUAGCAAACAGG